rnacentral:tRNA from 1 species
UAGAGCGUAGUCAAGUGGUUAAGACAGUAGAUUUUGACUCUACCAUUCGGAGGUUCAAAUCCUCUCGCUCUAACCA